rnacentral:lncRNA from 1 species
GAGAAUUCAUGACACUGGGUUUGUAAACGGCUUUGAGCUAAUGAUAUGGACACCAUAGGUGAUAGUUUAUGACCCGCCCUUCUGAGGGUCUAAGAACCUACUUAAGAGAUGAAGGCUCCCGCUCUGUAUCAUCUCUGGCACAGAACACCCACCCCCAUGGCUCGGAAGGGGCCUGUAGGUCAGGAGUGAGGUCAGACCCAGUAAUGAGAAGGAGGAACAGCCUGAAGCAACUGGUGACAGCAGGAAAAACCAAAGGUCUGAACUAUUUGACUGGUGAGCCGUGUCACGCGUGGCAUGUGGCUUCACUCCCUGGUACUUUAAUGACUUCAUUUGGAAACCCAGAAUGAUAGCCUAUAUGGUCUCUAAGUUUCAAAAUGGCACCCAAGCUUUCUCAAGGACAGACUACAAGGCUACCUUUCUUCUGUCCUUCCUUCCCAUCCCUCUUCACCCCCUAUAUAAGUAUAGCCAGUUGCCUGGACUCUGCCUCCAAAUCAAGUCUCUGAUAGAUUGAUUCAUGCUAAGAUGUUAAUGGCUGGCUAGUUUCCCAGAUUUUAACACAGAGUAAUUUACUUUUUUUUUUUUUUUAAUAUAAAAUGUCAGUCUUUAGGUUUCCCUUCUACUGGGUCUUGCUAUCUGCUUCCCAAUUUAUCUGUGAUAGGUUAUUUCAUAGAAAGAUGGUAAUGGCUAUUAUAGGCUUUUAGCUGAGAGAAAUGUGUGCGUGUCUUUUUAAGGGAACCCUGGGAAGAAAAUAGGGUGGUUAAAUCCAGAGAAUGGGACAUUCAUGGUAGGUCCGGGCAAUGGAGGGGCUCUCGUGGCCCAUUCCACAGGAAGAGUGGGUACUUCCUAUGCUGUCCAUACAAGGUCCUGAUCCCCACAGGCAAGUGGGGACACAAGAUCAUAUACCCUAGGGAGUUCACUCAUGGCCCUUAGUCCUGUUCUGAAUUGCCACCAUUUGUUGCCAGAAAAGCCAUGGCCAUCUUGGUUACAGCUAGCUAUAUCUGUCUGUUGUUGACUUUCUAGGGUGGUCAGAGAGGCACGUGGGACUCUCAGUCGUACACUCCCCACCUUGAUUUCUAGGCACUAAGAUGGUUUUUCUUUGAAAGACCCACGCUAUCCUGAGAGCUUUAGGAGCCACAACAGGACUCUAGCAAAACGAUGAAGUUGCAGAAACAUUACUUGACAGCCACCAUUACAAAAUGGGAAUGCAGGCAUCCCACACAAGCUUAAUGGACACUGUGCCCAAAUCAACCCAUAGUUUACCUUUGCUGAUGCUCUCCUAAGCCCCCACGGGUGAGGAGCUCACACCUGCUGCGACACUAGUUGGUGCUCAUGGGUAUUUUUCAAAUCAGAUGGUCCCAUAUUGAUGACUCUGUCUCCACAGAGACCAAGGAACCCUUUCAAGGCCCAGAAGGUAAAUGGUGGUCUGGUUAUCGUCACUCAGUUAGCUCAGACAGAGAAAGGACCUAAGAUCUCUGCCCUUCUUCCUACUCUUUUCCCCAGACCCUUACUACAAACUCUUUAAACUCAAACAAACCAGUUGCCUACAUAUUAAUCUGGGAACAUUUAGUCUCUGAAGUGUGCUCCUAAGACACUGCUUCCAAGUCUAAAUGCAGGCAAGGACAGACCACACUCUGGCCUCACACAUGUUCUGUGGACUUCUUGGAAGAUUUAAAGAAUUAAUGGAAUCAAGGCUUGUGAAAGGUAAAGAGUUCUGAAGCCAGGACAAGCAGCCUUUCGGGUUGCUCUUGCCUCUGCCCCAUGUCCUUCCCAUAGCAAGCAGGUCGAGGCAUGUCUUCUCUCAUGCCCUACAGGGCUCCGGACUCUGGGGCCACAUACAACAAACCCUUUCAGCCUCUUAGAAGCUCUAAAGGGCAGGCGUGAGGUCUACACCUGUUUCAAGGAAGGUGGCCUUGAUCCUCCCCAAAUGUCUGUCACUGCCAAUAGUGUUCUCACAUUUCUCAAGCAUACCUCCUUAGCUUAUAGUCACAUUGCUCAUCCCAGCAGCCCUGCCUGGGCCCCAAGCCCCUGGAGACAUAAAGAGAACAAUAAUGU